CCCCUCUCAGGGUCGCAUCUGGAGAGUUUCCAGAACUCUGCCAGUCUCGACUUCGGGAGGGAGAGUCAAGCAGAGGCAUAUCCUUUCCAUUCCUACCUUGGGCAGUGGCUAGUAAGUGGAAGGCAAUCUGCUACUGGG